GUAACAUCUGCAUUUUGAUCCAUAUAAAAAAGUAAAGAGAUAACUAAAUCAGAAAUUGUGCAUUGACCAUAGUAAGAAUACUCUAGAAAAAGUGUAGGUCGAUAAUACAACUAAAAAUGUAGGACAUUAAAAUUUCUCCAUCUUUUUGCAGAUAGAAUACAUAAGAAUACAGAGUGGCAAUGCUGUUGUCUAAUAUUUUAAUCCUCCAUAUCUACACCCAUCUAUCCCUUCCUAUCUUGGAAAGGCAUGGCGACCUCAGGGAUGGUAGUCCAUUUCUGUAUUGUUUUCUUUUGGAAACUUAUAAGGGAAAUAGCAUAACAUGACAUUAUAGUGACUGUCUUUAGCAACUGUUCCUUAUGGCUACAACACUGGGAGAAUUCCAUGGCAUACCAUGCAACAAUGAGCCUUUACUUGUAAAGCUACAAACUUACCCGAGGGAUUUUUUUCCUGUGAGGCAUGGUUCCCGGCCAUAAGCCACAGCUCUUUCAUUUGGUUGAAGAAGGGUGGUUGUUUUUCUUUGGGAGGUGAUGGCCCUAAAUUAAUCACACUGUCCAAAAAGGUAUCACGCGUUUUUUUGAACUUCAUGAAUACCUCUUCGACGGUGCGGUUGUAGCCAUGCAUUUUUAAAUGCGCUGCUACCUCUCUAUGCACAGGAAGAAUGGGCAUAGAACGGGACCUCAUGAGCAUCUUUAAUUUUCCGCUCCCCCUAACACUUCUAAGGAGCAGUUCUAUCUCCUUAUUUGCCCACGUGGAACCCUUCCUACGCGCCAUCACUGCUUCCCAAGAACUUCGGCCACUCUGCAAAGGUCCAGCGGGAAGAUGGAUUUGCAACGUCAUCACUGUGCAGGGAUUCUUGGCGCGAAAAUAUAGACUUGCGCCCCCUAGUGCUUUUACUGCUGUGCAGGGAGUUUGGGAGUGGAGAGAGCCAGCAGCAGCAGCUAAGUGAUACCGCAGACGUUUGAUUCACAACCUCUAUAAUUAGAUUGCAGACAGCAUUAUUUUAUAUUUGCUGUCAUUAGGAAAGCCAUGGAUAGCCAUGCAGUGACCGAAAGUGGUGCCUCCACACAAGCAAGGGGGAGGGUGUGGAGUGCCAAUGAAGUUUUGGCCUUAUUAGAAAUAUGGAAAGAACAAAAAUUGCAGAACAAAUUAAAAAAGAAUUAUAGAAAUUUGGAUAUUUUUAAGGAUGUAGCUGAUGAAAUGGCAAAGAAAAACCAUGUCAGAUCUGCAGAGGAAUGCAGAAGCAAAUCCAAAAAAAUGAGAUUUGAGUAUAGAAAGGUUGUGAAACAUAAUCAGAGAAGUGGAAGCAACCCUAUUACAUGUCCCUUUUACAGGGAACUAGAGGAAAUCUUUCAUGGGGAUGUUAGCAUCACCCCUCAUAGGUUAUCCCGAAGUCUUGAUUUUGAAAGGGAGGGUGAAACCACAAAUGUGACUGAGGAAACCGCAUCCACCUCCAUGGCUAACACAGGCGAUGGAGGCACCCAGGAAACAACUACCAGACAAGACAGUGAUGAAGGCAAGUAGCCCAUCUGUAAUGCCCGAUCAUUUCUGCUAUGUGCGUGACAACAUUAUUAUUUUUUUAAAAUAACAAAUGCUUUACUCUUUUUUUCCCCUUGCAUUUUUCAGAUUCUGAUGACACUUGUCUCGAUGACACUAUCAUUAAUAUUCCUUUCACCAUUUUGGAAAGUGGACCUACGCAAAUAGCAGGUGCGACUGGAGAACAAUUGGGACACUUGGAAAGACGUGCAGAUGGUACCAGCGGUGGAACCGAUGGUAGGUAGUAUCUGCUUCUCUAAGAAAAUUCCUUGUCUAAAACCCAUAACAUGAUGCUAACAUAAGAAAUACAUUUCCUUACUGUGGGCUUAAUCUAUUUUCUCAAAUUUUUUAAUUUCAGUACGUAACGAUCCCGAUGAGGAACAGGAACAACCCAAUGUAUUGCUGUCUCCUG